CCUACGGGAGGCAGCAGUGAGGAAUAUUGGUCAAUGGACGAGAGUCUGAACCAGCCAAGUAGCGUGAAGGAUGACUGCCCUAUGGGUUGUAAACUUCUUUUAUAAAUGAAUAAAACGAGGCACGUGUGCCUUUUUGCAUGUACUUUAUGAAUAAGGAUCGGCUAACUCCGUGCCAGCAGCCUCGGUAAUACGGAGGAUCCGAGCGUUAUCCGGAUUUCUUGGGUUUAAAGGGAGCGUAGAUGGGUUGUUAAGUCAGUUGUGAAAGUUUGCGGCUCAACCGUAAAAUUGCAAUUGAUACUGGCAGUCUUGAGUACAGUUGAGGUAGGCGGAAUGCGUGGUGUAGCGGUGAAAUGCUUAGAUAUCACGAAGAACCCCGAUUGCGAAGGCAGCUUACUAAACUGUGACUGACAUUGAUGCUCGAAAGUGUGGGUAUCAAACAGGAUUAGAUACCCCAGUAGUC
rnacentral:rRNA from 1 species